GUAUAUACGAUGUUCCAGGCAGAUCUACAUGUCGGGCGGAUAGAGGAUCGAAAUCGAAUGAUUACAUUGUGCGAGUCGGUUUAUGCGGUAAAGCGAUACGAUUGCAUGAUGACAUGACAUCGCAAUAACCAAAAACCUGCCACCGGAAAAUUGACAGCACCGGCACGCCAUCCGCCAACCAAUGUGGAUGGGGUAAAUUUAAGUAUGAACUAAUGGAAAUAAAUAAUAACCGCAUGGAGUUAUAGUCGAAGUCGUACUUCC
ensembl:ncRNA lncRNA:CR45211 long non-coding RNA:CR45211